UACGAAGGGAGCUAGCGUUGUUCGGAAUCACUGGGCGUAAAGCGCACGUAGGCGGAUUUGUCAGUCAGGGGUGAAAUCCCGGGGCUCAACCUCGGAACUGCCUCUGAUACAGCAAGUCUUGAGUCCGGAAGAGGUGGGUGGAAUUCCUAGUGUAGAGGUGAAAUUCGUAGAUAUUCGCAAGAACACCAGUGGCGAAGGCGGCUCACUGGCCCGGUACUGACGCUGAGGUGCGAAAGCGUGGGGAGCAAACAGG
rnacentral:rRNA from 1 species